rnacentral:misc_RNA from 1 species
GGAAACUUGGACAAGCUCUAUGAGGGAGCUCUAAUCUUACAAUCUCGUUGAGGGAGCUAGCAACCUUUACAAAAAGAAAAGAAUUAUGAUAUGAAAAUUUUCCACACCUUUUUCAGAUUGCAGGUGUAAAUAUACAUGCCGGAAGAAUAUAAUUAGAAAUUAUAGGUGAUUCCAUAUUGGCUUAAUCAACCCCUAUAAUCCUGAGAUUGAUAAGAAUAAAUUAAUGGUAAAUUCUUGUAAUUACAUAACCCAUUAUCUUGCAUCAUAUCUUAACCCGAUCAUGCUUGUUUCCUGUUUCAACGAGUGGAGCUACUUUUGCUGAUUUAUUUAGUCAGACAUCUAACCUCCUUUCACUUAGUCCUCCAAUAUCCUUCCACUUGGUCAUCCAAUCUCCUUUCACUUUGUUGAUCUCCCUUCAACUAGGUUGAUUAAUACCCCUUUCUCCACUUGGUCAUCCAACCUCCUUUCAACUCAGUCGAUUGGUGUCCCUUGCUAGUUCUGUAUCAAUGUGUACAUUGGAUGUACUUGAUGAAUUAUUUUCGUAUUAAGAAAUAUGAUUUAUUUCCUCAUGGGAAUAUGAUAGCCUUGGAAAUUUUGUAGUUUA